GACAGAGGAUGCAAACGUUGCUCGGAUUUACUGGGCGUAAAGCGCGCGCAGGCGGUUCUGUAAGUCGGACGUGAAAGCCCGGGGCUCAACCUCGGAAGUGCGUCUGAUACUGCAGGACUGGAGUACUGGAGAGGAGAGCGGAAUUCCCGGUGUAGAGGUGAAAUUCGUAGAUAUCGGGAGGAACACCAGUGGCGAAGGCGAGUCCCUGGACAACUUCUGACGCUGAGGCACGAAAGCUAGGGGAGCAAAGCAGG
rnacentral:rRNA from 1 species